ensembl:lncRNA
UUCAGGCAGGGCUCACGGGAGGUGGAUGUCUGGAGGAUGGGAAGCAGCCAGGUGACUGACAACCAUGUAGGCUGGGCGCAGCACUGAGGAGUAGGGACAAAAGGAGCUGACCCUGCAGGGGGAAUUGAUGGCUUUGCUGAGGGAGGACUGCGGAGGUAGGAAAAAUCUGAGGGAUUUCACUUAGAGAGAAAUUAAGGUUAUUUCUCUACCUCUCCACAGCUCAAGGAGACUGAGAGUUAGCAGCUCUCAGCAGGCUUUAUCAAUUCUGCCAGCACAGAGAAGCUGAUAUAGUUAUGCUCAUGUAACAACUCACGUGAUGUUCUUAUUCCUGAAUUAAUACUUCUCUUGGUUUUUUUCUCCAUCUUGUUUAAAUCUUGUGUAAAGCUGAACUGUAUUUAAAACAAAACAAAUGAACAAGGACAAACAAACCACAAAGGAAUUUUUUUUUAUGUACCUUAAGCAGUUUAAUUCAGCCCUUGCAGUGUCAUGGUAUAAUACCAGCAUAUGCUCAGCUCUUAGUGAACUGUUUCCCUUGCUUUAGGGCUAAUAUUGGCUAGAAAUGGAGACCUGCAGGAGAUAAACAGCAGUAAAGCCAAUUGCAGAUGAGCUUAGCUAAAAGCAAGAGAUACAGUCUCAGUGCAUACCAAAAGACAGCGUGCAAGGCUAAUAUAUCAUGCAAAUGGUGGACUAGGAGCAUUUAGGCACGGAUGGGCUGUGGGCUGUGCAGAAGGAGUGAAUCUCUCUGCAUUCAGCUAUGCGCUCGUGUGUGCGCGUCUCACUCCCCCUCCACUGCUCCCCCCGUCUCCAUCUCUCCCAGACAGGCAAACAGACCUGCUUCCUCCUUUGUGCUGCCAGUCAGGUCCUCCCUCUGCAGUCCUACACGGGAAGAAGAUUUAUAAUAGCUGCAUGCCAUGCCAGUGUCUCAAAGAGACAGCAUCACGCCAUGUGGAGGAUUUUUAUAUGGGGUUUAACUUUGCUCCACUGAAUUGGAAAGGCUCUCAGUUGCCUGACUCUUACCUCUCUGACUACUGGAAUACAAAAUUACAGCGGACUUUUGUCAUUUUGCCUCCCAUCCUUCCAGUUUCUCAAAAAUAAAUGCAUGGAGCUGAAUAAUUUGAUUUCAAGAAAUUCCUGAAGUGUCAUCAUCUGGGUUUGAUAUCAGCAACAGUUUCCCUCUGCAGAUGAACUUAGAAUACAAAGCUUAAAAAAAAAAAAAAUGUAAUGGAAGCCCUGGCACUUGGAAGAAAAAUAGAAGUAUUUAGUAGCAGGGCAGAGCAAAGGCAGAAUCCCUCUCUUCUGACUCAAAUAUAUGCAUUAAAUAACAACCAGUUGUGUUCCUUCUUCUAUCCUACUUUCCCUCAUCCUAUAAGCAGUAAUGCAGCAUGAUGUCUAAGACAUCUCAGCCAAGAAAACCUACUUCUACCACGGACUCGAGCCCCAAAUACUUUCUCUGAUUUUUCUUAGAUGUUAGUGCUCUCAGAACCAUUCUCUCUGCAUCAUUCUUGAGCUCUUCUCUUACAUCUAGUAUUUUCAGAACAUUUGCUUCUGCCGCUCCUGAUAUUGACAGUCUUUGUCAUCCCACUUCUACAGCUAAUCCAUUGGUAGUUUUUGUUGAUGGAGCAAGCAAACAGACUGACAUAAAAGAUUCCUAUCCCAGUGGUGUGUUGAGACUUUAACUGACAGCUAUUUAAUCUGUAACACUGACUACAUCAGUUCCAAUGUACUAGGAAUACAGUGCUUACCCAGACUGAAGGAAUGUCAGCAAAAAUCCCGUAACAAUGGGGAACUCCGUCUGCUCCCCUGCUACUAUGCAAUUGUUUGUAGUUGUUGAAAGAGCCUUAAAGCUGAUCAACGGUAAGGCUUCCACAGAAUGAGCUUGAAUCCUGAUGACUUAUGGAAAUUAUUUAAAGCUCUGUGGUAUACUUUUAGUAUAGGGCCAAGCUUUCUGCACUGCUAAUGAAAUCUGUAGCAUCUGAACUGGAAAACUUUACUGCAAACUCUUAUCCAACAGGUGCAUUUUUGCACAUAGUGCAUGUAUGAAAGAAAACUUUAAGUCAGCAUAUACAUCGUGACAAUAAGAAGUUUAUUUGGGUUUUGGUUUUAGGUUUUUUGUUGUUGUUUUGUUUUGAUUUUUGUUUCAAAGAACAGUAUGUCUAGAUUCUGAUGCUAGGUAGCAAUCCACGACACAAUGCCCAGACAUGGGUCAGGGAACAGCAUAUGCCAGGGAUCAUUCCCAACACCCAGCAUCAGCCUUGGUUCUCCCUGCAAAAGAGUUUCCAAAGUAUUUGCACCAUGUGACACUUCUUCAUACCCUUAUGCUAUACACUGGAACACGCUGCACAUUCUCUGUUUAAUACUAGAAAAGUCCCCAUGCCAAAAGGUUGCAAUACAACUCUCACAUUAUUUCACUUCAAACUAAAAUGGGCAUGAACCCAUGGCUGUGUCCUGAGACUUUAAUUUAACAGCAAUAGCCUAGAAGACACUUAAGUCCAAGUGUCACACAGUAUUCCUGCAGUCACUCUGUGCUGCUUGACCUCCGGGCUAGAAAAUAGCUAUUAGCCUUUUUUAUUUAGUGACAUAUAUAGCCAACAAGACCUUCUGAGAUAGAGAACACUGAAUGAGUACAGUAUUGAGCCAGGGGAAAGAUAGAAAACUAAGACAAAUGGCAUAUAUCUCAUGUAUUUGUCAGCAAGAUUAAAAAGUAAAUAAAUGUACAGACCAUAUGAAAGAGAAGUAUUUGCUACCCUUUGUGCCUUAGAGCACCAAAAUAUCUCAGUGGGAUCAACUGAGUUUUUCUACAGACUUGUCACACCACAACAAAAUUCUGAAUCUCCAGAGAAAUUACAAGCAAGCAGCUAAUGCUCAGUUGACUAGGUGAAUAUUCAUGUUGAUGAACAGAAGGAUAGUCACAGAGCCAGAAAAAAGACCUUCCUCUGCAGCGUAUGUUAUUGAAUUAAACUAUACAACUUCCCUCUUUCCAUGUCAGAGAUAAACCUUAUUUUGAAAAAGGAG